AUUGAACGCUGGCGGCAUGCCUUACACAUGCAAGUCGAACGGCAGCACGGGUGCUUGCACCUGGUGGCGAGUGGCGAACGGGUGAGUAAUAUAUCGGAACGUACCUUAUUGUGGGGGAUAACGCAGCGAAAGCUGUGCUAAUACCGCAUAAUCCCUAAGGGGGAAAGCGGGGGACCGUAAGGCCUCGCGCAAUUAGAGCGGCCGAUACCUGAUUAGCUAGUUGGUGAGGUAAAGGCUCACCAAGGCAACGAUCAGUAGCUGGUCUGAGAGGACGAUCAGCCACACGGGGGCUAAGACACGGCCCAGACUCCUACGGGAGGCAGCAGUGGGGAAUUUUGGACAAGGGGGGCAACCCUGAUCCAGCAAUGCCGCGUGAGUGAAGAAGGCCUUCGGGUUGUAAAGCUCUUUUGUCAGGGAAGAAACAGCAGCUCUAACACAGUUUGCGAAUGACGGUACCUGAAGAAUAAGCACCGGCUAACUACGUGCCAGCAGCCGCCGUAA
rnacentral:rRNA from 1 species